GCCAGGCAUGGUGGCAUGGGCCUAUAGUCUUAGCUACUCAGGCUGCUGAGACAGGAGGAUCGUUCACCACCAGGAGUUCUGGGCUGUAGUGCGGUGCGCUAUGCUGAUAACGUGCCCACACUAAGUUCAGCAUCAAUAUGGUGACCUCCUGGGAGCAGGGAACCACCAGGUUGCUUAAGGAGACGGUGAGCUGGCUCAGGUCAGAAACAGAACAGGUCAAAACUCCCAUGCUAUCUGUAGUGGGAUUAUGCCUGUGGUAGCCGCUGUACUCCAGCCUGGACAACAUAGCAAGACACCAUCUCU
rnacentral:SRP_RNA from 1 species